CGCCCGUCACACCAUGAGAGUUGGUAAUGCCAGAAGCACGUAUCCUAACCGUAAGGGGGGAGCGUACCAAGGUAGGAUUAGCGAUUAGGGUGAAGUCGUAACAAGGUAUCCGUACGGGAGCGUGCGGAUGGAUCACCUCCUUUCUAUGGAGUAUCAUAGUUUAGAGAAAAAGCUGAGCGAAUCGGUGUAACAGCUUAUGAGUAUAUCUCGUUCUAUCUAGUUUUCAGAGAUUGUUUCGCGCCAGUUGGCGCAACAAUUUCUGAAAGUAGAAAAUCGUUCUUUGAAAACUGAAUAUUAGAUGAAAAAUAGACAUUUAAUUUUUCUUACGUUUAACAAUAAAACGUAAAAAUAGUAACUAAAAUUACUAAGAAAAACUAAAAUUUCAAACAAAUAUAGAUUAUUUUAUAAUGCAAAAUAGGUCUUUCUUUAAGAAAGUAUAGUAAGGGCAUAUGGUGAAUGCCUUGGAAAAUGGAGCCGAUGAAGGACGCGACUACCUGCGAAAAGCGCCGGGGAGCUGGAAGUAAGCUUUGAUCCGACGAUGUCCGAAUGGGGAAACCUACUAUGAUUAGUCUCAUAGUGUCCAUAACUGAAUACAUAGGUUAUGUGAAGGGAACCCGGGGAACUGAAACAUCUUAGUACCCGGAGGAAAAGAAAACGAAUGUGAUUCUGUCAGUAGCGGCGAGCGAAAGCGGAACAGGCCAAACCGGUCUUAGGGCCGGGGUUGUAGGACUCUAGUUAGAGUUACAAAGUUAGUGUAUAGCAGAAGCUGUUGGGAAGCAGCGGCAUAGAGGGUGAUACCCCCGUAUGCGAAAUGCACUGACCUCGAAAGAGUAUCCUGAGUACGGCGGGGCACGUGAAACCCUGUCGGAAUCUACCCAGACCACUGGGUAAGCCUAAAUACUACCAUUUUACCGAUAGUGAACCA
rnacentral:sRNA from 1 species